rnacentral:ncRNA from 1 species
GGGUGGGAGAAAGGGUUGAGAUCCUGUGAGGGUGAUCUAACUCCAGAAACCCGUCCUCGGUUCGGAUUGCAGGCUGCAACUCGUCUGCACAUGAAG